UACGAAGGGUGCAAGCGUUACUCGGAAUUACUGGGCGUAAAGCGUGCGUAGGUGGUUUGUUAAGUCUGUUGUGAAAGCCCCGGGCUCAACCUGGGAAUGGCAAUGGAUACUGGCAGGCUAGAGUGCGGUAGAGGGUAGUGGAAUUCCCGGUGUAGUGGUGAAAUGCGUAGAUAUCGGGAGGAACACCAGUGGCGAAGGCGACUACCUGGCCUGUUCUUGACGCUGAGGCGCGAAAGCUAGGGGAGCAAACGGG
rnacentral:rRNA from 1 species